rnacentral:rRNA from 1 species
AACGAACGCUGGCGGCAUGCCUAACACAUGCCAGUCGAACGAGACCUUCGGGUCUAGUGGCGCACGGGUGCGUAACGCGUGGGAACCUGCCCUUAGGUUCGGAAUAACUCCCCGAAAGGGGUGCUAAUACCGGAUAAUGUCUUCGGACCAAAGAUUUAUCGCCUUUGGAUGGGCCCGCGUUGGAUUAGCUAGUUGGUAGGGUAAAAGCCUACCAAGGCGACGAUCCAUAGCUGGUCUGAGAGGAUGAUCAGCCACACUGGGACUGAGACACGGCCCAGACGCCUACGGGAGGCAGCAGUGGGGAAUAUUGGACAGUGGGCGAAAGCCUGAUCCAGCAAGGCCGCGGGAGUGAUGAAGGCCUUAGGGUUGUAAAGCUCUUUUACCCGGGAUGAUAAUGACAGUACCGGGAGAAUAAGCUCCGGCUAACUCCGU